rnacentral:rRNA from 1 species
UACGUAGGGUGCAAGCGUUAAUCGGAAUUACUGGGCGUAAAGCGUGCGCAGGCGGUCCUUUAAGUCUGAUGUGAAAGCCCACGGCUCAACCGUGGAGGGUCAUUGGAAACUGGGGGACUUGAGUACAGAAGAGAAGAGUGGAAUUCCACGUGUAGCGGUGAAAUGCGUAGAGAUGUGGAGGAACACCAGUGGCGAAGGCGACUCUUUGGUCUGUAACUGACGCUGAGGCGCGAAAGCGUGGGGAGCAAACAGG